rnacentral:rRNA from 1 species
GUCAUACGCUCGUCUCAAAGAUUAAGCCAUGCAUGUGUAAGUGUAAAUAUCAAACUUUGGAACUGCGAAUGGCUCAUUAUAUCAGUUAUAGUUUAUUUGGUGAAGUGUACUACUUGGAUAACCGUAGUAAUUCUAGGGCUAAUACAUGAGAAAAGUCCUCUGGUGAGGUGUGUUUAUUAGAAUGAAAACCAUAUGCUUCGGCAUGAUAGUGAGUAAUAGUAACUAAUCGUAUCGCAUGCUUAAUGUAGCGAUGAGUCUUUCAAGUUUCUGCCCUAUCAGCUUUCGAUGGUAGUAUAUGGGCCUACCAUGGCAGUAACGGGUAACGAAGAA